rnacentral:tRNA from 1 species
GAUGCAGCUCAGUGGUAGAGGGCUUGCCUAGCAUGUGGGAGGCCCUGAGUUCAAUACCCAGUGCCACA